AAAUCCGUCGAAUUUUUCAAUNCGUGAGGGUUCAAGUCCCUCUAUCCCCA
rnacentral:tRNA from 15 species